CCUACGGGUGGCAGCAGUGGGGAAUAUUGCACAAUGGGGGAAACCCUGAUGCAGCAACGCCGCGUGAAGGAAGACGGUUUUCGGAUUGUAAACUUCUAUCAAUAGGGAAGAAAGAAAUGACGGUACCUAAAUAAGAAGCCCCGGCUAACUACGUGCCUGCAGCCGCUGUAAUCCGGAGGGGGCAAGCGUUAUCCGGAAUUACUGGGUGUAAAGGGAGAGUAGGCGGCAAGGUAAGGUAUAUGUGAAAGCCUUAAGCUUAACUUAAGGAUGGCAUAACGAACUAUCUAGCUAGAGGACAGGAGAGGAAAGCGGAAUUCCUAGUGUAGCGGUGAAAUGCGUAGAUAUUAGGCAGAACACCAGUGGCGAAGGCAGCUUUCUGGACUGAAACUGACGCUGAGGCUCGAAAGCGUGGGGAGCGAACAGGAUUAGAUACCCUGGUAGUC
rnacentral:rRNA from 1 species